AUGAACGCUAGCGGCAGGCUUAACACAUGCAAGUCGAGGGGCAGCGAGAUUGUUAGCAAUAACGAUUGUCGGCGACCGGCGCAAGGGUGCGUAACGCGUGAGCAACUUGCCCUCAUCAGGGGGAUAACCGUUGGAAACGACGACUAAUACCCCAUAGCAUCACAUUGAGGCAUCUUGGUGUGAUUAAAGAAAUUCGGAUGAGGAUAGGCUCGCGUGACAUUAGCUAGACGGCGGGGUAACGGCCCACCGUGGCUACGAUGUCUAGGGGUUCUGAGAGGAAGGUCCCCCACACUGGAACUGAGACACGGUCCAGACUCCUACGGGAGGCAGCAGUGAGGAAUAUUGGUCAAUGGUCGAGAGACUGAACCAGCCAUGCCGCGUGAAGGAUACGGCCCUAUGGGUCUUAAACUUCUUUUGUAAGGGAGCAAUAAGGAUCACGUGUGGUCUGAUGAGAGUACCUUACGAAUAAGCAUCGGCUAACUCCGUG
rnacentral:rRNA from 1 species